rnacentral:rRNA from 1 species
GGAAAGGUGAAAAGAACCCCGAACAGGGGAGUGAAAUAGAACCUGAAACCAUACGCUUACAACCGGUCGGAGCAGCUUCGUGCUGUGACGGCGUGCCUAUUGAAUAAUGAGCCUACGAGUUACUAAUCACUGGCGAGGUUAAGUGCACGGAUGCACGGAGCCGAAGCGAAAGCGAGUCUUAAUAGGGCGUUUAGUCAGUGGUUGUAGACGCGAAACCUUGCGAUCUACCCUUGAGCAGGUUGAAGGUUGGGUAAAACCAACUGGAGGACCGAACGAAUAAGCGUUGAAAAGCUUCUCGAUGACUUGAGGGUAGGGGUGAAAGGCUAAUCAAGCUGGGAAAUAGCUCGUACUCCCCGAAAUGCCUUUAGGGGCAGCGUUGUAAUUAAGAGUCUACUGGAGGUAGAGCUACUGAUUGGAUGCGGGGGCUUCACCGCCUACCAAAUCCUGACAAACUCCGAAUGCCAGUAGUAUGAUUUACAGCAGUGAGCGACCGGGUGCUAAUGUCCGGUUACGAGAGUGGAACAACACAGACCAGCAACUAAGGUCCCCAAGAGUAUACUAAGUUGAUCUAACGAUGUUUUGCUGCAGAGACAGCUAGGAUGUUAGCUUGGAAGCAGCUAUUCAUUCAAAGAGUGCGUAACAGCUCACUAGUCGAGCGGCAAAGCGUGGAUAAUAAACGGGCAUCAAGUAUACCACCGAAGUUCUGGGCACGAAAGUGCGGUAGGGGAGCAUUCCAUUCCGCGUUGAAGCCGAACCGUGAGGUUUGGUGGAGUGUAUGGAAAAGCAAAUGUAGGCAUGAGUAACGAUAAUGCGGGAGAGUAACCCGCACACCGCAAGACCAAGGUUUCCUGAUCAACGCUAAUCGGAUCAGGGUUAGUCGGGUCCUAAGGGUAAGCCGAACGGUGAUCUCGAUGGACAAUCGGUUAAUAUUCCGAUACUAACAUAUACCUCGAUGGAGAGACGAAGGAACGUAAGUGCCGCCACCUGACGGAAUAGGUGGUUAAAGGGCUUAGGUAUAGGGGCAGAUUAAGAGUUAGUCCUUGCUGAAACCUGACAGUACAGAGAGCCUACGGGCAAUUUGAUAGUGCACCCAAGUCGACUUCCGAGAAAAUCUUCUAAGUUAUAGUAUAUGUCACCCGUACCGUAAACCGACACAGGUGGUCGAGGAGAGUAUCCUAAGGUGCUCGAGUGAAUCACGGUUAAGGAACUAGGCAAAUUAACCCCGUAACUUCGGGAAAAGGGGUCCCUAUGAAAGUAGGGCGCAGCGAAGAGGUCCAGGCGACUGUUUAUCAAAAACACAGGGCUCUGCAAAUUCGAAAGAAGACGUAUAGGGCCUGACACCUGCCCGGUGCUGGAAGGUUAAGAGGGGAUGUCAUCGCAAGAGAAGCAUUGAAUCGAAGCCCCAGUAAACGGCGGCCGUAACUAUAACGGUCCUAAGGUAGCGAAAUUCCUUGUCGGGU